rnacentral:misc_RNA from 1 species
GCUGGAGACCCAGCCUCUAUCCCCACCCCUACAGAAACUGGAGGAUUUCUACAUGACAGACUCCAUCAGUCGCGCUUCACAGACCAUGGCUAAGUGUGUACAGGCCGUCAAAGAGGCCACAAAGAACCCCUACAUGUAAAGUCAACCAAGCGCGACAUCAGUGCGAGAUUCUAUUGGAGGGCAGGGCAGGAUAGUGGAAACAGACACUAAAAAAUAACAGAAGAGAAUCUGCUUUGUUGUUUUGUGUUAUAAAACAUUUGUAAAUAAAAGAAGGUAUAUAUAAUAUU